CCAAAGGAAAUGGUUGCUUAGUGGCGGACUGGUGAGUAACGCGUGAGGAACCUGCCUUUCAGAGGGGGACAACAGUUGGAAACGACUGCUAAUACCGCAUAACAUUGCCGAACGGCAUCGUUUGGCAAUCAAAGGAGCAAUCCGCUGAAAGAUGGGCUCGCGUCUGAUUAGAUAGUUGGUGAGGUAACGGCUCACCAAGUCAACGAUCAGUAGCCGGACUGAGAGGUUGAACGGCCACAUUGGGACUGAGAUACGGCCCAGACUCC
rnacentral:rRNA from 1 species